rnacentral:lncRNA from 1 species
GAUACCGGUGCGGGGCGCAUCACCGGCCGUCCCCCUCCGCGCAACGGCACUAAUCCCCUCGUGCCCAACCAACGGCGCUUGGUUCCGGGGUUCCGCUCGGUAACUCCUCCGGUGGAGCAAAGUUGCCCCGUCCGUCCGUGCCACCGGGGCAGGAGGCGGACGGGAGCCGGGGGCGGGGGGGGGCGCGCAAUCCGCGCGGUGCCGGAGCGGAGGUACUACUUGGCGGAUCCCGACGGCGCCCGUCGGCAGUGUGUUCCCGGGCCCCGCCGCGCUGUUGUUAUUUAUUUAACCAACGGGGAGUAACGAAACUCAGCCGGAGGGGUCGGGACGGCGGGGCGGGCGCUGCAGCUGGGGCUGGGCCGGGGCUGUGCGAUGGAAGGGCUCGGGCCCGAUGCGGCGGCGACAGCGCCGGACAGCGCCGGGCGGGUAGAGGCCUCUGGCCGAGGCCUGCGGAGCAGCAGCGCCGCCGAACGAAUUAAGAGGCCCCGUACCACCCGGAGCCCCGCGGGCUCCGGCGCAGCGCCCCUCGCAGCGCCUCCGACGGCCCCGGCGGGGCUCAGUGUGAGCCGCGGGAAGGGGAACGGGGGCUCCGUUCCGGCGGUAGCGUUGGUUCAGGGGCUCACGAAGCGGGCUGCGCGCCGCCUGGGCUCGGCGCUGCUCGACCGCAUCACGGCGUUACCGCUGUGAGUACGGGCAGAAAUGAGAAUCGGCCGCGAAACAAAGCGAAAUGAGCCCCGCGGCUUCCUCGUGCUGAAAGGAGAAAGGGAAAUGUGAGUGAUAGAGUACCGCUCGCGUUUAAACUGAGCGCUGUGCAACACAACGUACAGCCGGUGCCCGUCGCUGCUUUCAACCAGCCAAAGUUUACGUUUGUCCCGCUGGAGAAAUGGUUCCGUUGAAAUAACACCCGCAGCCCUGCCCCAGCUGUGUGUCCCGGGAAACCCAGUGCAUAUUCCAGUGCAACCACCACGGCUCUGUGCCUUUUCUGUAUGCGUUUGUGGGUAUGUGCGUGUGUGCGAGAGAGAGGCUGUGAGAAAGAGAGAGUAAAUCCCCACAACAAUUGCCGUGGAUGGGCAAUAAACAAUUGCAGUUGGGCAUGGCACGAACUAUGUGCAUUGGAUUAACCUCGCUUGACCUCACCACAAUUGUAUUUAUUUAUCCAAUUCCGUAACAGGUUGCUACUGACCAAAAAGAAGUAGAAGUCAAUGAUCAACUACCUUCGUUUUUUUUUUAUUUUAUUUUGUAGAAUUUCUGGGUUUUUUUUGUUUGUUUGUUUUUGGUUUUUAAUAUCAUAAUUUGUAAUUAUUUCCUUGCACAACCCUGAAGCCAAUAUAUGGGAACUCCUGAGGAAGAGCGCAGUGUGGAGGAUGUGACUGAGCUCUGCGGUGCUGGGGUAAGAGGAAAGGCCGAAGGAAAAGAGUACCACUGUCAGCUCGAUGGAUGCAGAUAUGCUGUGGCCCCCACACCCCCCGCGGCUCCAGCCUCCAGUCCCCCUUCACACGAAUACAGCGGCUCUGCACUCCCAGGCUCUUCCAAGGGGUUAAGCUGCUAAAAUGUCCUGACAGCUUAAGGAAUGAAUGAGGGUUUUUUCAGCCAUGAAGAAAGAGUAUUUAAUAACCACGCUUCGAUGGCAUCAUGUGUCCACGAAAAGAGUCGGGACACCUUAGAUUAACAACCUCUAACAUCGCGUUGGGUACAGUAAAUGCCUGGACGUACGCAUUUAUAACUCUAUCCCCCGGAUUCUAAGCUUGUCUUAUUUAUUCCAGGUUACCUGGGCAAUUAAGGUAAGAGCAGCUCAGCAGACAGCGAUAUCCCGCUGCUCGGGCAGGGCGAGCGGGGCCGGAACGCAGCGCUAACAAAGGCGAGAGGUGGUCAUACAGAUUGAAGAGGGGUGAAUGGGACUGGAGGUGGAGGAAUGAAUGGAAGCUAAGAGAGAGAGGAAGACGUAUUCAGCGGUCCACCCUUACAUCCGCGUUUGUAUAUUUAAGUUUAGGUGUCUGUCUCUAACCGACUUUCAGUUAAUCCCUAACAGCUGGUCGUAGUGCUAACGUUUAGUGAUUAGAAGUUACUCUAUUUAGCAUGCUGUAUCCUUCUUGCCUGGGUUUUGGUUACAGGUUAUACGAUUAGCAUUGCGAGAACAGUAGUGAACUAAACUUCCCAGUGAGAGGUCUUCACACCAGGGAAGUGUUACUUUGCGGCAGCAGCCCUGCCUCGUCAGUCAUUAGGAAGCUGCAGGUUGUCAGAGCCUUCUCUUGCGCGCACACACGCGCAGACACACACGCGCACACACAAAACCAUAGCACUAAAACUAAAUUAAGAAGCCGAUGAUUAAGACAAGCGUCUACGAGGCCUGUCAUUUCAGCAUCCUUCCAUCAUAAUGUUAUGGCACCGAGAAAUUUGCUUGAAAACCCUGGAAAAAAUGUCUAUGGGAGAGCCUGGUAUUUGAGAUAGCGUAAAUGUUAACAUCGAGUGGAGGCUGGGAGCUUCCGCGGAUGCAAGAUGGCAUUCCACUGAGGACACGGGUGCUGCAGGGACCUCUGGGCUGUCCGCACACUCGGGUGAGUAUCGCUCCCUUCUAUUGAAGCAGGUAUGCAGGCACUGCGCGAAUCGAAGUGGACCGCGUUUGAAAUCCGCAGCUCUGUUCCUUGCGGAGACUUCGGGGAACUCCCCCUAAAGAUAGAUCUGUAAUGAAAAGUCCCUGCCGGAUGACUAAUGGUUAUUGGCACUCGGUGCCCCUUUAAGGAGAGCGGCACAUAUUGUGCAGAAGACCUUGCGAGCACCCUUUAAAUACAAACAUUUUAAGCCCCCCUCCUAUGCAUCCCCACCCCUGUUGUUUUCGGGCUCGUUGUGUUGUAGCUCCUCUUCUCCCCCCCUCCUUUAAGCUCUCUCGUCUUCCCUCCCCCACCCCAUUCAGAACUAAUUGCUCAGUUGCUGAAAUGUUUCAAGAAGAGCUAAAUUUCCCCAUCCGAUGAUCUUUUGAGAAGCGGCACUGUACCAUAAAGACCAGCCAGCGGGGUACUGCUGGAGGAGAGGUAGCGUUCACACAGUGACGCUCGGCACUAGGUGUAAAGAGUCCCCCUCACGCUGAACUUCGAGAGGUGCCUUGCACGGGCAGGGCUUGGAACAACGAGGAAAUGGGAAGCGAUUGCUGUAGGGGACGGAAACCUUCGGUGGUGCCGUAAGCACCGGGACAGAACGGUGACAGAAGGGGACCUCGGGAGCAUCGCAGUGCGCCUUUGCCCCGGCGGCUGCAGCGGGGUGGGAAGGGAUGAUUUUCUUCGCCUUUGUUACACGCGAAAGGUUCUAUUUAUUUCCUAUACCUUUAGAAUCCCAUCCAUGGAGAGCCUAUCUGUAGACGUCGAGCUUCCAUUAGAAUUUGUCUGUUCUUCUGCCACUGCCAGAAUUUUUCAAAACAGAACGUUCUGACACUCGCUGCCAACCCGAAGGCUCGGAGGUGCUUUUUUGCAAAACCCGAGGUGUCGCCCUUCUGUUACACAGCGGUGUGUUUGAGUGUCACCUCCGUCUGUGUGAUGCGUAUCCUCGCGAAACAAACAAAAAGACCACUAAGGGUCAGAAUGGAAAUUAAAAUAUCCCUGAAGAAUUACUCACAGAGCUAUGAUGAUAAUAAAACGUAGGGGGUAUUGGGCCACUUAAAAGUCGUAUAUUGUUCUCGAGGUUUCAAUACAACAUUUUAUUUUAUUCUGUUUGCUGGUAAAAUAUUCUUGGCCAAUGCGGCGUUUUUUUAAUUUUUAUUUUUUAAAUUUUUAUUUUUUUUUUUUCGGAGUAUUGAGGUUGAAUUCAAGAACAGGGAGAAAUGAGCAGGGUUUGGAUAGACUUGGAGCCGCUCUUUGACUCCCAGAAUAUUUUCCUAUUGCCCCUCUAAAGCCGCUUAGCCUCUUAUAAAUGUAAUCUUGAGCAAACGACACACGUAUCUGGGUCUGCAGUUUUUCGGUAACGCUAGAAAAUUUGAUUUCCUCUCGCCUUCCCUCCCCCCCUCACCUUCCCCCCAGCCCUGCCCCCCUCCCUCAGCACAGAGCCAGACCCGUCCCUCUCCGGGCAUUAUUCCCCAGGCGCUUGGAGCAGCCAGCGAGCAUCUGCCCACCCACCCUACCUGGCCUCCCCGCUCCGUGCAUCCAUGGCAGCCCUCGGUUUAGUGGGAUCCGAGCUUGACGCGAUGAGCCGCGGACCCCAUUUUUAGGGCCUACAAAAGCACAACAUCCUCCCCUCUCCCCCCCCAUACGUCUCCUGGACCCCCCGUGUAACCACAGCAAAAUGCUGGAGGUAGCACAAAAGCCAUACACAACUGUACACCCGCGUAGGCAAGACGCCUGGCGAGCCCCGGAGUAAAGCCACUUUUCACUUUCUCCGUGCCCGGGGCUCAUGCGGGAGGAGGCGGUGCGCGGCGCGGAGUUGUGCGCGGAUGCGGAGCUGCGCUCGGUGUGGGACCCGCGGUCGGGACUGGGGGGGGGGGGGGCGGGGAGGGGACGGGGACGAACGUUGCGGCUUCCGCAGUGCCCCAGUCGGAGGGGACGGCUCUCGUUGGGGGGUGUUCUGAGCACUUUAUAUUGGCGGGGUGGUCUCCAUGUUUUCUUUUUUCUUUCUUUCGCGGAGGGAGGGGAGAGAGAUGGUAAGGGGCUUGUUGGAUGAUUAUAACUGCUACCACCCAUAAAUAAGUUUCUUGGGGAAGGACUGAUAGCGUACCCUUGAUAUCUGUGGGUGUGUUCAUACAUUAUUUUCAUAUGAUAUGUCUUUUAGACAGAGCCUGUUUUCCUCCUCCCUCUCUCCCCAGCCCACCCUCCACCCCCCGCUUUUUUUUUUUUUUUUUUUUUUCUGGAGUUUGUUUCGCUUUUAAAGCAGCAGCACAAACAAACAAACACACAAAACCGACUGGCAACAAGUUAAAUCUCGUCCGCGUCCCUCCCACCGCGCGCGGACGGUGCCUCGCUACAGCCUGGGGUGGUGGUUCUGCCUCGGCAGUAAUCUGACCGAGAAGCGGCUGCACGCUGACUUCUGAGCGGUGACACUGUGGAGAGAAAAGGCGUUGAAAGAAACACUUCUCCCGGGAUGCACCAUCUCCUUUGUGUGUUCGCUCCUCUCCGUCUUUCAGACGGGGCGCUCCAUAGGCUUGCACACGCACACACGCGCACACGUACGCACUGAGUCUCUGUUUCCCCGGGAGUUUUCAGAAAACAGUGUUUAUUAGAACCGAUCUAUAAACUCCACCUGAACAAUGAAAUCACGCGGUAGCUCGGAAAACUCCAACAAACAAAUAUUUUGCACAAGUGAGACGAUGGCAUUGCACUUUCUUUGCCUGCUCGUUGCAAAACGCCAAUGACAGGUAUAGAUAAAAGGCUCGUAGCCCUUGUCCACGUUGGACUGGACAGAACCAUACCCAUUUAGGAACAGACCGGGUUUAUUUUCCCUCCCAAGGCGACUACAAACUAGUUUUGCAGUUGUAUUAGGUACCGAAUCCACAAGAAAACAUUUUCUCCCUGAGGGUCCCGCUCAGGUCUCACUGAGGCUUCUGCAAGAGCCGCCUGCAUCGCACGCCUCAGCUUCUCCCUGCCUUCAGUGCAAAGAACUGCAGAUAGACAGUGUUUGCCUGUGCUCAGCGUACCUAGCAGAUACCUCUUCACGCAACCGCACAGUUCGCAAAUGAUAGUUUAACUUUCUCUGUUGUGGUGGGCACGUGUUUUGUCAUCUGAAAUUAACUUGUGAAAGCCUUUGUAUCAUUUUUUGAUUUGUGUUUGGCGACAACGCGGAUCAUAUCUUACCGCGUUGAUGGUUGGUACAAUUGCUAAAUUAAAGGCAUGUUUUCGGCUUUGAGAAACAGCAACAAAAAAACAGCCCUCUGAGAGCUCAUCUUCAGCAGAACAACCCAAAGAGCACCGUAAUAACACAGCUCAAUAUUUCCUGCGUGCGCAGUGUCUAUGUCACUCGAUGUCUCUAUUGUCUCUGCCUAGGGAUACUCAAGGAACUCUCAGACUCGUUACCUAUGACCAUCACCUAAAGGAAUAUACGAACAGAAUGUGGAUAAUCGCUCCAAUUGCUUGGAGGAAUGCAAGUGGAUUCGUAUAUAUAUACUUUUUCUGUGUCCUUACCUGUUCUCCCAUGUAAACAUUAGGAACUGAACUCGUCUUGACGUGCUUUGGUGCCUGAGCCACACGGAGAGAGACGAACCACUACGAUAGAGUGAGCGAACCCCGUUGUGUGCGGUGCGGUGCGGUGCGGUGUUGUUCCUUCUGUUGAGGCUCCGCUUCCCCGUGGAGGGCGUCCCGCCGCGCCCAGCGCUGAGCCCCGCUCUUCUCCGGACACGCGGCUUUACGUGUAAAGCUUUUAGCGCGUUGGGGCUGAAAUUAUGAUUUUCCACGUUUCCAAAGGGACGGGGCUCUAUUUAUAAACGUUACAGGAGGUUUCGUUACUUCAGGAACAACAAAACAGGAACAGAGCUGUAAUUUUCAAGAAAAUAGGAUUUCAAAAUACAGAAAUAAAAAAAAGUAGAGAAGACGACGUAUAAUUCAAUCAAAUUACUGACAAUUGCUUUAAAAUUCAGAAUAGUAGCGAUCCAUUAUGUCUCUGUUUUAUUAGUGACAAGUACAAUUACUCUAAAAUAAAGAACACUGGUGAAUAUAUAAUUGGCUGUAAUCACGUUAGUAUUGGAAUAAAAAUGACGGGGACAUUUAACACUUUGACAACAAAAUGCUCAGAAACAACUUAUUUAUUCAAACAGUUUUUAUUUGCGUUCACGUGAGGCAGAAACACGCUUUUGCUUACGAUAAAUCAAUGUAGGUUCCCCCCCCCCACACUUUUAAUAUACAUAUAACUAAAGAAAGAUGAUUAAUUAUUUUGUUAUCUGCGGCUUAAUGAAGUCUCCCGUGCGCGGCUACAUUGCCGCUGAUCGCUCGGUACCCAGAGAACGCCAUCUACAGGAAAAGGGCUUCAGAAUGAGCACAAAUCCAUACACUAUUGGUUAAGGGAAAAAAAAAAAAAAAGAAAAAAAAAAAGAAAAAAAAAAAUCAGAGUUAAUAUUCCUCUCUAAAUCCGGCUCCGAUGUUACCCACCGCACCGAUCACAAUAUUUGCUUUGUAAUUGCUUUUCGCGAUUCAGUUUGUUAUAGUUUGACACAAUGUAGGAAUCUGUUACGAGGCCUUUUCUCUGAGAUGCGGCAUUUCAGAAAUACACUGAACUCCGCGAAGAAGCACUUUUUCUCCCCCUAAAGCAGCUCUUUUCUCUCGGGAGUGACAUGAUCGUCCCUGAACAACCCAGGCGCUCUGUCCCUUCAAGUGAAGUGUGGAAGACGCCCGCAAAAGAACCCCGAAAACAAAAUCACUUGAUUGAAAGCAUUUUGUGCAGCAAUUGCAUCGUGGAAUAAGACACAACAUUUCUUUAUCUUUACUUUCACGUAUUUCCCUUUGGAUAACGCCUCGAAAUACCCUAGGCACGCUCUCCUCUGUUCGUGUAGAGCGUCAUUUGCCCCAUAGGGUAGUCCCUAAAGGUGCAGCUCGGCUGUGCUUUUCAUUUCUGAGCCUUUGGCGGAACCUCAUCGAAGUAGAAAGAUUGCCCCUUAAUAUUUCGGUCAGACAACUGUAGACCCGUGGAGACAGCGUAUAUCCUCCAUGGUGCGAAUCCAGCACCCCAGUCAAGCCAUAGAAAAUAAGAGAAAAUAGAGAAAAUAGAGGAAACUUUCCAGACUCAUCUAUCUACAUUUUUUUUUUCUCUCUCUCUCUUUUUCUCCCGGAUUUGUUUCAAUCCCGAACGAAUAUUUCUUCUAUAUAUUUAUUCCUUUAUUUGCUCUUUACCUCCCACUAUCGCCCAAUUUCCAGGUGCCCCUCUGGGUUUGUGUCUCUGCUCGGAGCCGGACCCCACCCUCUCCCCGCUCCGUGUCGCCGCAGCGCCCCGUUGGUGUCAGCCCCGAGCGUCCCCCGCGUGCGGCUCCCGCAGCGCUCCUCCGCCAUCUCCCUCCUUAACCCGGGUCACAAAUCCGGACGGGCUCGGUGAAUUUCAGGUGUGCAUUAAUCUGUGCAGCGCGGCACCAAAAGCAGCGGUUCGUUGACAUAAUUGCUGAGCAAAACUACCCACGGUGCACCCUCGAUGUAACGCGUUACUUUGAAAACCGAGGACAAAAGCCGGGAAACUUUAUUAUUGUUAUUCAUGCUCCUACUGGAAUCAGACUCAAACUUUAUGCCCCAGCUCUCCCUCUAUCUUCCCGCCUCGGGGCAUUGACAGCGAAUGUCCCAAAUCGAGAAUCUGUGUCACAUCCCCACUUCUAAACCUCGCUUAAUGCCAGGAACAGAGCUCCUCACCUCCCCCCCACCCCCUCGGCCGGCCGCUCCCGCAGAGCAGAGGGGCCCCGCUGUCCCUCCCCUCGGGCCGGGCUCUGCCGUUUCUAGGGUGCCUCGCACCAAACCGCAGAUGUCAGCCUUCCCCCUACGUGUUCGGGCUGUUAAUGCGGGCACUUCACACAACAGAAAUGUUCAUCUCUGGAGCCUUUCCCAGGGCCAGCCGCA